rnacentral:rRNA from 1 species
GACGAACGCUGGCGGCGUGCCUAAUACAUGCAAGUAGAACGCUGAAGGAGGAGCUUGCUUCUCUGGAUGAGUUGCGAACGGGUGGGUAACGCGUAGGUAACCUGCCUGGUAGCGGGGGAUAACUAUUGGAAACGAUAGCUAAUACCGCAUAAUAUUGACUAUUGCAUGAUAGUCAGUUGUAAGGUGCAACUGCACCACUACCAGAUGGACCUGCGUUGUAUUAGCUAGUUGGUGGGGUAACGGCUCACCAAGGCGACGAUACAUAGCCGACCUGAGAGGGUGAUCGGCCACACUGGGGCUGAGACACGGCCCAGACUCCUACGGGAGGCAGCAGUAGGGAAUCUUCGGCAAUGGACGGAAGUCUGACCGAGCAGCGCCGCGUGAGUGAAGAAGGUUUUCGGAUCGUAAAGCUCUGUUGUAAGAGAAGAACGAGUGUGAGAGUGGAAAGCUCACACUGUGACGGUAUCUUACCAGAAAGGGACGGCUAACUACGUG